UGUGAUUGUACAAAUUCAGUAUGGGCAUCGC
rnacentral:piRNA from 1 species